UACGAAGGGUGCAAGCGUUACUCGGAAUUACUGGGCGUAAAGCGUGCGUAGGUGGUUUGUUAAGUCUGUUGUGAAAGCCCCGGGCUCAACCUGGGAAUGGCAAUGGAUACUAGGCAGGCUGAGAGUGCGGUAGAGGGUAGUGGAAGUUCCCGGUGUAGCGGUGAAAUGCGUAGAAGAUCGGGAGGAACACCAGUGGCGGAAGGCGGCUACCUGGACCAGCACUGACCACUGAGGCACGAAAGCGUGGGGAGCAAACAG
rnacentral:rRNA from 1 species